rnacentral:rRNA from 1 species
UACGUAGGGGGCAAGCGUUAUCCGGAAUUACUGGGUGUAAAGGGUGCGUAGGUGGUAUGGCAAGUCAGAAGUGAAAACCCAGGGCUUAACUCUGGGACUGCUUUUGAAACUGUCAGACUGGAGUGCAGGAGAGGUAAGCGGAAUUCCUAGUGUAGCGGUGAAAUGCGUAGAGAUUAGGAGGAACAUCAGUGGCGAAGGCGGCUUACUGGACUGAAACUGACACUGAGGCACGAAAGCGUGGGGAGCAAACAGG